GUGAGAGUCCUGUAACUGUAAGCGUGGCACUGGUGUGGGGUUGCCCCGAGUAGCGUGGGACUCGUGGAAUUUCGCGUGAAUCUGGCGGGACCACCCGUCAAGCCUAAAUACUCCUUGGUGACCGAUAGUGGAUGAGUACCGUGAGGGAAGGGUGAAAAGUACCCCGGGAGGGGAGUGAAAGAGUUCCUGAAACCGGUCGCAUGCAAGCCGUCAGAGCCUGUGUGGUGAUGGCGUGCCUUUUGAAGAAUGAGCCUGCGAGUUAGUGAUGCGUGGCGAGGUUAACCCGUGGUGGGGGAGUCGUAGCGAAAGCGAGUCCGAUAAGGGCGUGAGUCGCGUGUUCUAGACCCGAAGCGGUGUGAUCUAUCCAUGGCCAGGAUGAAGCGUCGGUAAGACGUCGUGGAGGUCCGAACCCACUUCAGUUGAAAAUGGAGGGGAUGAGUUGUGGAUAGGGGUGAAAGGCCAAUCAAACACCGUGAUAGCUGGUUCUCCCCGAAAUGCAUUUAGGUGCAGCGUUGCGUGGUUCUUGUUGGAGGUAGAGCACUGGAUGGUCUAGGGGGCUUAUCGGCUUACCGAAAUCAGCCAAACUCCGAAUGCUGGCAAGUGUAGCGUGGCAGUGAGACGGCGGGGGAUAAGCUUCGUCGUCGAGAGGGAAACAGCCCAGAUCAUCAGCUAAGGCCCCUAAGUGGUGACUCAGUGGGAAAGGAUGUGGAGUUGCGUAGACAACCAGGAGGUUGGCUUGGAAGCAGCCAUCCUUGAAAGAGUGCGUAAUAGCUCACUGGUCAAGUGAUUCCGCGCCGAUAAUGUAGCGGGGCUUAAGUUAUCCGCCGAAGCUGUGGCAACCUGUGUGGUUGGGUAGGGGAGCGUCGUGUCAGUGGUGAAGCUGCCGGGUGACUGUGUGGUGGAGUUGAUGCGAGUGAGAAUGCAGGCAUGAGUAGCGUGUGACGGGUGGGAAUCCCGUCCGCCGAUUAUCCAAGGGUUCCAGGGUCAAGUUUGUCUGCCCUGGGUGAGUCGGGUCCUAAGGCGAGGCCGACAGGCGUAGUCGAUGGGUAACCAGUUGAUAUUCUGGUACCGGCUUGUCACCGUCCGUGUCGAGGUGUGUGAUGCUAAGCAUGUGAGCUUGUCUUGGGAGUGUUUUUGAUGCUUCUGGGGUGGGUGAGUGUGUGAACCGAUCAUGUAGUAGGCAAGCUGCGGAGGGACGCAGUGAGGUAGCUCAUCCCCGGUGAUGGUUGUCCGGGGCUAAGUGUGUGGACUGUCUGGUAGGUAAAUCCGCUGGGCGUGAAGGUUGAGGCAUGAUGGGGAGCCCACGGUUGUGGGUGAGUGAGUGAUCCUGUACUGUCGAGAAAAGCUUCGUGAGCGAGGUGGCGGGUCCGCCCGUACCCUAAACCGACACUGGUGGAUAGGUAGAGUAUACCGAGGCGAUCGAGUGAAUCGUGGUGAAGGAACUCGGCAAAAUGCCCCCGUAACUUUGGGAUAAGGGGGACCUGAGCUGUCGUGCACCCGUGCGGUGUGGUGGCGGUGAGGGGCGCAGAGUCCAGGGGGAAACGACUGUUUACCAAAAACACAGGUCCGUGCGAAGUCGUAAGACGAUGUAUACGGACUGACUCCUGCCCGGUGCUGGAAGGUUAAGGGGAACUGUGAGUGUGAUGCGUAGCGGUGAACUUAAGCCCCAGUAAACGGCGGUGGUAACUAUAACCAUCCUAAGGUAGCGAAAUUCCUUGUCGGGUAAGUUCCGACCUGC
rnacentral:rRNA from 1 species